GUGGGGAAUAUUGCGCAAUGGGGGAAACCCUGACGCAGCAACGCCGCGUGAGUGAUGAAGGCUUUCGAGUCGUAAAACUCUGUCUUUGGGGACGAAUAAUGACGGUACCCAAGGAGGAAGCCCCGGCUAACUACGUGCCAGCAGCCGCGGUAAUACGUAGGGGGCAAGCGUUGUCCGGAAUCACUGGGCGUAAAGGGCGCGUAGGCGGGUUGUUAAGUCAGGUGUGAAAGUUCUCAGCUUAACUGGAAAAGUGCACUUGAAACUAACUUACUUGAGUACUGGAGAGGUAAGCGGAAUUCCUAGUGUAGCGGUGAAAUGCGUAGAUAUUAGGAAGAACACCGGUGGCGAAGGCGGCUUACUGGACAGAGACUGACGCUGAGGCGCGAAAGCGUGGGGAGCGAACAGGAUUAGAAACCCUGGUAGUCC
rnacentral:rRNA from 1 species